UUCCAGAUGACAUGUCUCAAAUAGGACGAAACGCGCGUCCUGGAU
rfam:Schistosoma curassoni strain Dakar, Senegal genome assembly, scaffold: SCTD_contig0006341